rnacentral:rRNA from 1 species
CUACGGGGUGCUGCAGUGGGGAAUAUUGGACAAUGGGGGAAACCCUGAUCCAGCAAUGCCGCGUGUGUGAAGAAGGCCUGCGGGUUGUAAAGCACUUUCGGUUGGGAGGACUGCUUCUAGCACUAAUAUUGUUGGAAGUUGACGUUACCUUCAGAAGAAGCACCGGCUAACUCCGUGCCAGCAGCCGCGGUAAUACGGGGGUGCAAGCGUUAAUCGGAAUUACUGGGCGUAAAGCGCGCGUGGGCGGCUAGAUCAGUCGGGUGUGAAAGCCCCGGGCUUAACCUGGGAACUGCAUCCGAUACUGUCGAGCUUGAGUACAGGAGAGGAGAGUGGAAUUCCACAUGUAGCGGUGAAAUGCGUAGAUAUGUGGAGGAACACCAAUGGCGAAGGCAGCUCUCUGGCCUGAUACUGACGCUGAGGUGCGAAAGAGUGGGGAGCAAACAGGAUUAGAUACCCGGGUAGUC